UACAGAGGUCCCGAGCGUUGUUCGGAUUCAUUGGGCGUAAAGGGUGCGUAGGCGGCGGGGCAAGUCUGAUGUGAAAUCCCGGGGCUCAACCCCGGAACUGCAUUGGAUACUGCCUUGCUCGAGUACUGGAGAGGGAACUGGAAUUUACGGUGUAGCAGUGAAAUGCGUAGAGAUCGUAAGGAAGGCCAGUGGCGAAGGCGAGUUCCUGGACAGUGACUGACGCUGAGGCACGAAGGCCAGGGGAGCAAACGGG
rnacentral:rRNA from 1 species